rnacentral:rRNA from 1 species
AUUGAACGCUGGCGGAAUGCUUUACACAUGCAAGUCGAACGGCAGCACGGGUGCUUGCACCUGGUGGCGAGUGGCGAACGGGUGAGUAAUACAUCGGAACGUACCCAGUUGUGGGGGAUAACUAACCGAAAGGUUAGCUAAUACCGCAUACGACCUGAGGGUGAAAGCGGGGGACCGUAAGGCCUCGCGCAAUUGGAGCGGCCGAUGUCUGAUUAGCUAGUUGGUGAGGUAAAGGCUCACCAAGGCGACGAUCAGUAGCUGGUCUGAGAGGAGGAUCAGGCACACUGUAACUGAGCCACGGUCCAGACUCCUACGGGAGGCAGCAGUGGGGAAUUUUGGACAAUGGGGGAAACCCUGAUCCAGCCAUUCCGCGUGAGUGAAGAAGGCCUUCGGGUUGUAAAGCUCUUUCGGCAGGGAAGAAACGCUCUGGAAUAAUACUCUGGGGUAAUGACGGUACCUGAAGAAGAAGCACCGGCUAACUACGUGCCAGCAGCCGCCGUAA